UGACGGCCAUAUCACAUUGAAACACUGAUUACCGUACGAUCACCGAAGUUAAGCCACGUCAAGCUUGGUCAGUACCGAGAUGGGUGACCACUUGGGAAUAACAUGUGCUGUAG